CAGCCGCCGCGGGAAUACGUAGGGUCCGAGCGUUGUCCGGAAUUAUUGGGCGUAAAGAGCUCGUAGGCGGUCUGUCGCGUCUGCCGUGAAAUCCUCAGGCUCAACCUGAGGCGUGCGGUGGGUACGGGCAGGCUAGAGUGCGGUAGGGGAGAAUGGAACUCCUGGUGUAGCGGUGGAAUGCGCAGAUAUCAGGAAGAACACCGAUGGCGAAGGCAGUUCUCUGGGCCGUAACUGACGCUGAGGAGCGAAAGCGUGGGGAGCGAACAGGAUUAGAUACCCCUGUAGUCCCUGUCUCUUAUAC
rnacentral:rRNA from 1 species